GUGCGUAACGCGUAUACAAUCUGCCUUUCACUGGGGGAUAGCCCGAAGAAAUUUGGAUUAAUACCCCAUAGUAUAGUAAURYGGCAUCRYRAUACUAUUAAAGCYACGGUGGUGAAAGAUGAGUAUGCGUUCUAUUAGCUAGUUGGAGAGGUAACGGCUCCCCAAGGCGAUGAUAGAUAGGGGUUCUGAGAGGGAUGUCCCCCACACUGGUACUGAGAUACGGACCAGACUCCUACGGGAGGCAGCAGUGAGGAAUAUUGGACAAUGGUCGGAAGACUGAUCCAGCCAUGCCGCGUGCAGGAUGAMGGYCUUAUGGRUUGUAAACUGCU
rnacentral:rRNA from 1 species